rnacentral:lncRNA from 1 species
AAAAACCUUACAUUUUUAUCCGCGCCGCUUGACACAAAAAAGGACCCCAACCUGAUCUUCUUCUUCAUGAAAAAAGCCAACAAGAAAAAACCCAGAGCUCUAAGGAAGCUUAAGCCGCAGCAGCCAUGAAAAGAAGCUCCACCCUAACUCUACCGCCUCUGUCGUCUCCCUCAUCCCCAGCCUCAGAAAAUCAGUAGCCAUCAGACCUCACUGCCUGAAACCCGCCGGAAAACAACCCCUUCCUUUCCAGUUUCAGUCACACACAAACACAACUGAAAAAACGACCUUAAUCCCAAUCAAAAGCCCAGCGGAAACGCGCUUGAAUCACCUCUGAACUCCAGCCAUUAGAAGCAGCGAAACAAGCUGCAAAUAGCUCUCAAACCGUUCAAGUACGAGCAGCUUUUUGAUCGUGGUUUGAGUCGCUGAAGUUGGGUCCGAUUGCCGUCGAGUUCGAGUUAGACAGAGUUUCCGUUCGUUAGCUUCAGUUCCGGUUCUCUGUUUUGGGGUGGGUUCGAUCUCCUCUACUGGGAUUUUGGGAAUGAAAACGUGGAUCUAGUCCGGAAUAUUGUCGAUCUAGAGAUCACCGAAGCUGUUACGCAAAAGUUUUCUGCAAGGCAAGUCCAAGUUCCAUUUAUUCGACCACUUACACAUUUCCUCUAAAAUUGAUUUGCUUGGAUUUAGUUUACGCAUACCUGUUUAUAUAUGUCAACGCUUGUUUUCUAAUUCUACAUCUGAUUUUAACAUGCUACUGAGCCUGCAUGGCCAGUGAAAUUGAUUAUAGCAUCUUAUUGACAAUUUAUGUAUGAUAUUUAAACUUUUCUUAUUAUUCCAUAUGGUGAUUUACUCAUAGUUACAUUUAGAGGUCUCAUGUAUAUUAUGUCAGAAAUUAUCUGUGUGGAAAUUAAGUGUUUGACAAAUAUGGUUUCGAGAAGCUUAGCUGCCUUAGCAACCUGCGUUUAUAUCAGGCACAAGUAGGAUUUACAUUCCUUUUCUAUUUUCAAAGGCUCAAUCCUAAUAAUUAUCUAUGCUUAAAAAACAAUUAGGAAGCAAGUGAAUUUCUUGCGUACUGAUGCAUAUCUUUUGUUUUGCUUAAUUUGCUUGUAAAGAAAAAUGUUUAAAUUUUUGGUUGGUAAAAUUAUCCAUCAUAACAAGUUGCUUAUUUGAUUGAAAGGAGCAAGUGAGUGAUUUCCAUAUAAAUUAAGGUAUGCGUUCGUCCAACUUCGAACAAACUUCCUUAAUAAUAAAAUUAGUUUUCAUAGGUUACUAAUACUCCGGGGUGAGCCAUCCACGUUUUAAUCAUACAUGGCCCUCAUAUAAAUUUCGUAUAAUUUAGAUAUUAAAAAUGAAUCUCUAGUAGUUUGCUUUAGGAGCAUUAAUUAAAUAAACCGUCAUAGCUACGGUUACGGUUCCCAUGACGUAGUUGUGAUGCUUAAUUUCCAAAUUCGGGGUACAUUUGUGUGACCCGGCCACAAUUUAAUCUUUUUAAAUAAAAUGAGUACGUUGUGGAUCGUGGGUACGGCUCUCGUGACAUGAUUCGCAAUCGUGCAAUCAAUAAUUAGUUGUAUAACAAUUGGAUUAUUAAAAGCGAUUUUAAAAGGAAUAAAAUGCACAUAGGUUUUAAAUAUGUAAUUAAUCAGAUAACUAAGUCAAUUAAUAAUAGUUGAGCAACCGUGCUAAAAUUACGGAACCCGGGAAUGCCUAACACAUUCUCCCGGGUUAACAGAAUUCCUGACCCGGAUCUCUGUGUUUUGCGGACUGUAAAACAGAGUCAAAAUUCCUCGGUUUGGGAUUUUAAACCAUUGACUUGGGACACCAAUAAACUAUCCCAAGUGAUGACUCUGAAUUUUAAAUAAAAUAAUCCCGUUUCGAUUGUCACUUAAAUUGGAAAAAACUCCCUUAUAUACCCUUUCGGUGGUAAAAAAAGAGGUGUGACAGUGGAAACAAGAGGUAAAGCAGUAGUUGAGGCUUGAAUUCUCUUCGUGGCAUCGAGGUAAGUGAUUGGUCUAACCUUAGCUUGAGGGAUUAGGAGUUGUAUCUUAUUUGCUAUGUGUUAAUUGUGGAGUACGACGUAUAAGCAUGGUGACGAGUAUCUAUACGUCGGUGUCAAGCAUACCCGUGAGUCUCGUAUGGUAAUUGUUGUGACUUCAUUAUAAUUUGUUCAUGCUUAAUAUAAUGAUUAUCAUUGUUAGUUCCCUUACCGGGAUGUCAUUGUUAUGAUAUUGUUUCCCUUGCUGUGAUGUUAUUGUUUACGAUAUUGUCUCCCUUGCCGGGAUGUUAUUGUUAUACUCGUGUUCCUUGCCGGGAUUCUUUUAUGAUUGAUGUUGAUUUUUCAAAUGGGAUAGGGUUGCACGCCUACAACAAGAUAUAUGAAAUGGGAUCGGGUGGCACGCCGCCACGGUGAUAUAUGAAAUAGGAUCGGGUUGCACGCCUGCAACAAGAUAUAUGAAAUGGGAUCGGGUGGCACGCUGCCACGGUGAUAUAUGAAACGGGAUCGGAUUGCACGCCUACAACAGGAUAUAUGAAAUGGGAUCAAGUGACAUGCCGCCACGGUGAUACAUAAAAUGGGAUCGGGUUGCACGCCUACAACAAGAUAUAUGAAAUGGGAUCGGGUUGCACGCUGUAACAAGAUAUAUGAAAUGGGAUCGUGUGGCACGCCGCCAUGGUGAUAUAUGAAAUGGGAUCGGGUUGCACGCCUGCAAUGAGGAAGAAAUGAAAGUGAAUAUUGUGUUUGUUUUCCUUAUUCUUGUUGGCAUUUAAAUGUUGGUUUCUUUACAUUCCUCUUUUGGUAUUCUUUUGUUAGCUGAUAUUCCCCGCAACAUGUUUUCCCCUCCCAUCUUUAGCUGUAAUUAUCUGCUUUUAUCUUUCCAUUGUAUAUGAUUUAAUUGCACAUGUUUAUUUGGUAGUCUGGUCCUAGCCUCGUCACUACUUCACCGAUGUUAGGCUAGGUACUUACCAGCACAUGGGGUCGGUUGUGCUGAUACUAAACUCUAAAUUGUGUACAGAUCCCGGUGCUACAACUUUUGGACCGCAGUGAGGUUGCUGUCUUCAGUCCAAUAGGCGACCCGAAGUAGUCAUGUAGGCAUCCACAGGCCUUAGCGUCUCCCUCUAUCUUUCCAUUCUGUUUCUUUUAUGUAUUUUAGAGACAACUUUGUACUUAUCUUUUAAACCUCUGUUUGUAGUAUUCGUAGAUAGUCCGUGACUUUGUGACACCAAAUUUUGGGUAGUGUUAUAUAUCGGAUUCAUAUAACAAUGUUUGGUUAAAC